AGUGAACGCUGGCGGUAGGCCUAACACAUGCAAGUCGAACGGCAGCACAGUAAGAGCUUGCUCUUACGGGUGGCGAGUGGCGGACGGGUGAGGAAUACAUCGGAAUCUACUUUUUCGUGGGGGAUAACGUAGGGAAACUUACGCUAAUACCGCAUACGACCUACGGGUGAAAGCAGGGGAUCUUCGGACCUUGCGCGAUUGAAUGAGCCGAUGUCGGAUUAGCUAGUUGGUGGGGUAAAGGCCCACCAAGGCGACGAUCCGUAGCUGGUCUGAGAGGAUGAUCAGCCACACUGGAACUGAGACACGGUCCAGACUCCUACGGGAGGCAGCAGUGGGGAAUAUUGGACAAUGGGCGCAAGCCUGAUCCAGCCAUACCGCGUGGGUGAAGAAGGCCUUCGGGUUGUAAAGCCCUUUUGUUGGGGAAGAAAAGCAUCAAGUUAAUACCCCGCUGUUCUGACGUUACCCAAAGAAUAAGCACCGGCUAACUUCGUG
rnacentral:rRNA from 1 species